GACAACCCAGGACGUGUAUUUCUCAGCACCCAGUCAAUUGCCAGAAGUGACUCAUACACAGGCCACCAGUGGCACUCAGCUGUACCACUGCACUGCUGCUGAAAUUGCCAGCACCAGCGGCUUUGUAACAGCUGUUUCACAGCAUCUCGGAGACAAUGCCUACGAAACUAUUGGCCCUGAUGACGAGAGCCCUCAAGGGGAAAACGACAUCUCUGAUGAAGAAGUGAGCCCGAUACCACCUUAAGUUACCAUGACAGAUGACACGGCAGCAAUAGAUACAGAGACUGCCGUGUCUACUGCAGCUGCAACAGUGUACGAGGCAAGCAGCAGCACGUCAGCAUCAGCAGUAGUGUCAGAAGGAACCGAACCAGGCCUGGUAGGGCAACAUGUGUGCUACCACUGUGACUUUUUUGUAGUGCAUACACCUCAUCUGCUCAACAUACGAAAGCUUUUCACCACGACUGCGAGCCAGUGUUCUUGUGCAGCGAGAGCAAGACUAUGUUUGGUGUUAUAACACAGUAUAAGCAUCACUUUAAAAUAUUAUAACCUAUUACAGUUGC
rnacentral:lncRNA from 1 species